UACGUAGGGUGCAGGCGUUAAUCGGAAUUACUGGGCGUAAAGCGUGCGCAGGCGGCUCCUUAAGUCAGAUGUGAAAUCCCCGGGCUUAACCUGGGAACUGCGUUUGAAACUGGGGAGCUUGAGUGUGGCAGAGGGGGGUGGAAUUCCAGGUGUAGCAGUGAAAUGCGUAGAGAUCUGGAGGAACACCGAUGGCGAAGGCAGCCCCCUGGGCUAACACUGACGCUCAUGCACGAAAGCGUGGGGAGCAAACAGG
rnacentral:rRNA from 1 species